ensembl:lncRNA
AUGAAUCCUUACUCUUUACCUGAUGCAACUUUUUUUUUGCUUGUUUUCUUUUUACUUCUUUUUUUUUUCUUUUUGCAUUUUUAUUUUUUUUUCAAGGGGUUUCAGUACCUGCAGAACCAGUCAGUUUGUCAGUUACAAACAUUUGAAGAUACUGUCUUGCUACCAAAACUUUCAGUGAAAGAGUUUGGUAGUUAUGAUCCUGGGGUAUACAGGAAGAAAGAGAAAGCAUUGAUUGCUUUGCUCACAGAAAGCAUGUCUUCUUGUCUGUUUGCAGAGUUUUAUUGUGAAAGGUUUUAAACUGUUGAAAGAGUGGAUGGAAAGCCAGAAGAGCAAGAGCUGUCCUUUCUUAAUGCUCGGAAAUGUUCAUCUGGGAGUGUGAGGAAGGCUGCCAGCUCACAUGGUCCUGACGUGACGAAGCAUAUAUGGAGAUGAGUCCAGGAACUAACAGUGUGUAACUGGAGGUAAGUAGGUAAGUCUUGUUUGCCAUACGUUCUCAGACAAACACAGGACUGCUGAUCCCACAGACUGAUACUGGCAAAAUGCUGUUAAGAGCAUAAGCACUUUACUGCUCUUUAGUAGAUACACCUUUUCCCUACUGGCACAGAGAUGAGCUCUAUCUCAGAAACGUUGAGAAAGCUGCUGAAACAAUCCACUGCAAAGUUGUUGCUUCUCAUAUGCAGUACCUCUGCUGUUGUCACAGUUGUUUACUCUUCCACAAAUAGAAGAGUACUCCUUCAACAAGUCCAGCAGCAGACAACAGCAGCUGUGCAACUCGGGCUGAGUUCAUUUUCCCCUACAGUGAGUGGCCCUACUUUGUUAUUUCAGACACAAAGAGAACCAGAGGCAAAGAUAAACUGGUUUUCUGUCACAAGGGUGGGCUGACUACAUGCUGAUAAGUCCUGUCAUUUUAGUCCACCUAGUAACAUUAAUUCCUGUGGUAGCAUAUGGAUUGAUUUGGCCAUUGAGGUGGCAAAGCAUUUGAUUACACCUUAAGUCUUGCCAAUUUAAUUAAACUCACAUUAAAAAAGUAAUCACAUAUCUUUUCAAACACUGGGGUUUAUGUAAACUAGACCCAUGACCUUUUCAGUGUAUAUGUAUACAGAGAAACUUUUGAAGGUGAGCUUAGAUUUCUUGGCAGAGAUGCUUAGAAUUAAGCAUGAGUGGGUAUCAGUCUUCAUAUUGCUAAAGAUAGGCCUUGCUACAUUGGAGAGUUUGUAAUUUUGAUUCGCUUGGGUGUAGCCUUGAGAUUAUACCUUGAGGAGCCAGUCCUAGCUGCGGUACUGUAGGAGCCAAAGAACCACAACAUAAAUGUCUGCCUACACUGUGUUUUCUUAGGAGCUUUCAAGUUCUAAAGAGCAUCACUUGACAGUAAAGACAGCUUGCUAAUAUGUUGGUGUUAAAAAUAUUUUGGGCUUUAUAAGUCAUGACAGUUCAUAAAACUUUGCCUGUGAACAAAGCCUGGAGCACUAUUCGGAGGAGAACAUCAAUAUUUUUUACACAGCACAAAAUUAGUUGCUGUUGCUUUAAAUUAGAUGAUCCUUUAAAAUGGUCUUCAGGAUCAUUUCCAGCAGAAGCACAUGUCCAUUUGGAAUUAGCCAAACUAUGAGUCAUGGCAAAAGCAGUCCCCUUGCCCACAUUAAAUUCUGGCUGCCUGUCAGCUAAAUGUCACCUCUACUGUAUAAAGACUCUUGUCCCUGUGUGUUUUAGGCAUGUACAAAUGAAGCCCAAUGUCCAUAUUGGAUCAUUAAAAAUUUCUUCUGAGCUUAUUUUCUCAAACCCACACUUUUGACAACCAGAUAUUUAUUCACUACAUUUGCAACAGUUUACUAGAAAAGCAUAAAAAAAAUCUAGAUAUUAAUAUACACGUUACAUUAAAGUGCAUUAACACACAAAAUGUCAUCUCGCAAAAAAUUGAAUAAUUAUAAUCCCAUAAUCCUAAAGACAAGUGUGGCAGAGAGACACAGACGCACAUACACAAGUCAAUACUUACCGCUGAAACAUGGAAGAGCUUGCAUUCUGAAAUUCUUCUGUUCAUGAUUGUCUGCCACAUUAAACAUUUUCUUUGGGAUGUAUGUACCAAAGGUGCAUAAAUAUUUUGCUUUUUCAUUUUGCAGUUUAGUUGCUUGAUUAGGGGAAUGUUCUAAUUUAUUUUUAAAGAAUGAUUCUACAUUGCCUAAUGCAUGUUUGUGUGGAUGGAAUUUAAUAUUAGCACAAGAUCUUGCCAGUCCUUUUUCACCAUACAUUCAUACCAUCUCAAGUCUUAACUUUAGGGACCUGGCUUACCUUGAAACAAAUAACUGCAUCACCUUAGGACUUCUAGUUCUGCUGAGGUCUUCUAGGCUUCAAAUGGUUACAAAAUAUUUCAUUUAGAAUAUUCCAAGAAGCAAACUGAUCUUUGCAUAGGAGAAAGUAAAUAAUUUUAACUCUGCUUAUUGUCUAACAAAUGAGCAAUCUGCCUCUAAUCUACUCCUGUGGGUAUUUUACGUGCUUUAUACAUAUAUAUAUAUAUAUAUAUACCCCCCCCCCCCCCCCCCCCCCCCCCCCCCCCCCCCCCCCCCCCCCCCCCCCCCCCCCCCCCCCCCC